rnacentral:rRNA from 1 species
GACGAACGCUGGCGGCGUGCUUAACACAUGCAAGUCGAACGGAAAGGCCCCCUUGUGGGGUACUCGAGUGGCGAACGGGUGAGUAACACGUGAGUAACCUACCCUUGACUUUUGGAUAACUUCAGGAAACUGGGGCUAAUACCGGAUAGGAGCUCCUGCUGCGUGGUGGGGGUUGGAAAGUUUCGGCGGUUGGGGAUGGACUCGCGGCUUAUCAGCUUGUUGGUGGGGUAGUGGCUCACCAAGGCUUUGACGGGUAGCCGGCCUGAGAGGGUGACCGGCCACAUUGGGACUGAGAUACGGCCCAGACUCCUACGGGAGGCAGCAGUGGGGAAUAUUGCACAAUGGGCGGAAGCCUGAUGCAGCAACGCCGCGUGCGGGAUGACGGCCUUCGGGUUGUAAACCGCUUUCGCCUGUGACGAAGCGUGAGUGACGGUAAUGGGUAAAGAAGCACCGGCUAACUACGUG